rnacentral:rRNA from 1 species
CCUACGGGUGGCAGCAGUGAGGAAUAUUGGUCAAUGGACGCAAGUCUGAACCAGCCAUGCCGCGUGCAGGAUGACGGCCCUAUGAGUUGUAAACUGCUUUUGUACGAGGGUAAACGCAGAUACGUGUAUCUGUCUGAAAGUAUCGUACGAAUAAGGAUCGGCUAACUCCGUGCCAGCAGCCGCGGUAAUACGGAGGAUCCAAGCGUUAUCCGGAUUUAUUGGGUUUAAAGGGUGCGUAGGCGGUCGUAUAAGUUAGAGGUGAAAUCCCGAGGCUCAACCUCGGAAUUGCCGCUGAUACUGGGCGGCUAGAGAGUAGUAGCGGUAGGCGGAAUGUAUGGUGUAGCGGUGAAAUGCUUAGAGAUCAUGCAGAACACCGAUUGCGAAGGCAGCUUACCGUGCUGCUACUGACGUUGAGGCACGAAAGUGUGGGGAGCAAACAGGAUUAGAUACCCGAGUAGUC